UACGAAGGGUGCAAGCGUUAAUCGGAAUUACUGGGCGUAAAGCGCGCGUAGGUGGUUCAGCAAAUUGGAUGUGAAAUCCCCGGGCUCAACCUGGGAACUGCAUCCAAAACUACUGAGCUAGAGUACGGUAGAGGGUGGUGGAAUUUCCUGUGUAGCGGUGAAAUGCGUAGAUAUAGGAAGGAACACCAGUGGCGAAGGCGACCACCUGGACUGAUACUGACACUGAGGUGCGAAAGCGUGGGGAGCAAACAGG
rnacentral:rRNA from 1 species